UACAGAGGGGGCGAGCGUUGUUCGGAAUUACUGGGCGUAAAGGGCGCGUAGGCGGCCAACUAAGUCAGACGUGAAAUCCCUCGGCUCAACCGGGGAACUGCGUCUGAUACUGGAUGGCUUGAAUUCGGGAGAGGGAUGCGGAGUUCCAGGUGUAGCGGUGAAAUGCGUAGAUAUCUGGAGGAACACCGGUGGCGAAGGCGGCAUCCUGGACCGAGAUUGACGCUGAUGCGCGAAAGCCAGGGGAGCAAACGGG
rnacentral:rRNA from 1 species